CUCCUCUCAUUGAGCUGAAUGAAUGAGGGAGUCAGUGUUUGUGCCAACAGAGACUCUGCAGCAACGCAUUCCUCCUCUCCACAUUUAUUCUCACACAGGGAACCGGUCUGAGUCCAGUUAGUCCCAGUGCAUGUCCAGUCCAGGUCCAGUUCAGGUCCAGGUCCAUUCAGCUCCUCAGCCGCUGGUCGCAGACAUGAAGCUGCUGCUGCUGUUGUUGCUGAUCGAACGAGCUGCAGCUCAGCAGAGAGGUCUGUUCCCUGCCAUCUUGAAUUUGGCGAGUAACGCAGUGAUCAACACUAACGCAACAUGUGGGGAUCCAGAACCGGAGGUUUACUGUAAGUUUUCGAACACGUUCCAGGACGACGGAUCAAGAACCCACACUGCCCAAAUGUGAUGCUAACUCUGUCCUGUCUAAAGGUACGAAACCAGAACCACGUAAAUCUCACAUGACAUAAAUAAACAUAAAUAUAAAUAUUUUAUAGUAAAAUAAAUAGUUUGAUUGAUUUCUCUCAAAUAAAAGUUUUGAUUAUCAGCUGAUGAGUGAAGUGUACCCUUCAGAUCAACCAUCAAAAUGUCUGAUUAUUGAUCUCUUUGACCAGUCAUUCUGAUUACUGAUAAGUCUGAACAACUAACAGUAGUUGUGUUUGUUGUUUAGAACGUCAUCCAAUCACCAACGCCAUCGAUGGGACCAAUCAGUGGUGGCAAAGUCCGAGUAUCAAGAACGGGCGACAGUUUCACUGGAUCACCAUCACUCUGGAUCUCAAACAGAUUUUUCAGGUGGCUUACAUUAUCAUCAAGGCAUAACUCUCCUCGGCCAGGUAAGACCUGUCUGUCUGUCUGUCUGUCUGUCUGUCUGCCUGCCUGUCUGUCUGUCUGUCUGUCUGUCUGUCUGUCUGCCUGUCUGUCUGUCUGUCUGUCUGCCUGCCUGUCUGUCUGCCUGCCUGCCUGUCUGUCUGUCUGUCUGUCUGUCUGCCUGCCUGUCUGUCUGUCUGUCUGUCUGUCUGUCUGUCUGUCUGCCUGCCUGUCUGUCUGUCUGUCUGUCUGUCUGUCUGUCUGCCUGCCUGUCUGUCGUCUGUCUGUCUGUUUGCCUGUCUGUCUGUCUGCCUGCCUGCCUGCCUGCCUGCCUGUCUGUCUGACAUGUCUGUCUGUCUCUCUCCAGGUAACUGGAUCCUUGAGCGCUCUCUGGACGGUUGACCUUUGACCCCUGGCAGUUUUACGCCAUC
rnacentral:lncRNA from 1 species